rnacentral:lncRNA from 1 species
AAAGUGGAACUGAACCAAAGGACAAUGUUCUUACCUUAUCCACUAAUGGUUCACGAUUAUAAGGUGAUUCAUGCUCAAAGUAUUCGUAUACAAGCUGACCAAGUGCACUGCAGCUUCCAUUCUCAUCACUUGAUGAACCUGUGAAAGGUUUACUUGCAAGUGAAAGUCUUUCCAGACCAAGGUUGCUUGCAUCUGAUAAGUUAGGAAGGUUUGAACUGCCAUUAACUACACUUUUAGAUCCUCUUUCAUGAUGAUAGCCACUGCUGCUGUCGCUGCUCGUGUCUCUAGCUGAUUCAGAGUCACUCUCCUUACUGGGUUUCCUGUAAUAACAUGGAAAAGUUAAUGAAUCUGUUGUGUAGAUGCACUAAAAGAGUUCAUGGAAAAGGCUUGGAUAUAGGUGUCUAUCAGUUAAAAUUGGAUAAAAACAGACGAGGGAAAUGAUAGAGUACUGCAUGGUACAUAUUACUAGCAUGUAUAUGAUUUGGUUUUCAUUAUAAAGUUAUGGGUUAAACAUGUAUCCUACUAAGUGUCAUUUAGAGUUUGCAAGCAAUAUCAAGUCUAUGAGCAAUAGGACAAACUAGAUUCAGAAAAACUUCUGGUGGCUGGUGACCAUCUUACUAACAGUUAGUGUGAUCUACAAGUUAUAUCAGCAAUCUGCAGUUCUGUAAACAUUAUAGAUGAUUUGUUGAAUUUAAAUUUUAUGUAUUGCAAGUGUAAACAAACUUCACACAUUCAUCCAGACAUGUUGUAAUACAUCAUUAGAUGAACUAGUUUUACAUGGAUAGUACGUCAAAACUAAACUCUAAUUAGUGUAUAGGCCAUCCGGUCUUGCAAGUUAGAGGAUCAAUUAUCCGAGUAUGUGUACAGCUGACGAUGGAUCAGUAACAGACAGCAUCAGAAGUAACAAUCACUCUUUUUUAUUCACAUGACUUGGGUAGGCAACAAUCUAUAAUCUAGUAAUAUAAUACUAAGUUUAAAUCAGAGGAAAAUCUUCUAGUCUGCAAUUCUGAAUCACAUUACUAAUAAAAUCAUCAAUGAAAUGGCCUAAAAGAUCUUACUUCUAAGCUACGUAGAACCGAAACUUCAGAUAAUGUUUGACAUGUGUUGAUAUCGGACACAUGUCGUGUCGGUGUCCAAGACACUGAUACAACACCGACAAAUGUGGUUAUAUUCAUUUACUUUCAAUUUCUCGAAUUAUUACCAGUGUCUCUGUUAGGGGCAGAGCUAGGAUCUAAUAGUAGUUUGGGCAAUGACCAAUCAACUUAACAUGAAUUGAAGACCUAUCACAUAAAUCAGUGUGCUGGUCUACAUGUGCUCUCGUUAUUGUGUUUUUAUGAUUUGUUGAAUAGACACAGGAAAGCAAAGCAGUUGAUCACCCCAUCUGUACUAAUUAUUGCAUAUGACAUUUACAACAACAACCAAGUCUUAUCCCACUAAGUGGAGUCGACUCAAUAGAUCAAAUUAUGCCAUAAUGUAUUAUCAUAAACCAUAUUCCGAUCCAACUCAUUAAUCUCUAUUAUCUUUCUUAAUAUAGUUUUUCUAGGUCUUCCUUUGCCUCUAGUGAUCUGACUAUACUCUACAUGGUCUACUCUCCUUACUACAGAAUCUGUAGGUCUUCUCUCUACAUGUGCACACCACCUAAGCGUAGUUUCCAUCAUGUUUGAAAAAUUAUUCAAAAAAUUUGGCAGGGGCUCCCCUGUAAGUCUAUUACCAUACACCUACAUCCGCCCCUAGUCUAUGUUAGUAUCAGUGUCGUAUCUCAUGUCCGUGUCUAAGUACUUCAUAGCUUCUGAGAUCCUUCUUCUAAAUGCUUUUAGUUUAUACUAGUAGCAAAGAACUACCUCAAAACCUAUUUAAGGCAAAAGAACAUACAACUUUCCAGCAAGUUGAAAAAGGCAAAAAAGAGAGAAAAAAAGUGAGGAAAAAACAAGCUUCAUAAACUAUUAUAGGGAAUAAUCUAAAUCAACGACAAAUCAUCAACAUAAAAAAUGUUUGGCCUGUCAUUGAAAAUAAACAAACAUUCAUCUGGUCCCAAAGCAACCAUGAAGUAUAUUUCGAAUUUUCGAAUGUUAACCCCAAAUGUAGCAAGAACAAUACAUCAAAAUGUUCAAAUGAAAGGAAUUAAAUCAAUCACUGGAAAAGCAAAUCAAGAACAGUUAUUUUCAUACUGAAGAAAGCGCUAACCUUAACCGCAGGGAAGGCUUUGAUGGAUCAAUAUAUAGCUGAAUAGCAGACAAAGAGACAUUGUAAUACUGUUUAACAGAUUCAUUCCCACUCAAUACCAAUGGAACACCAGCUCCAUAUACACUCCACUCCUUGAAAGAUUCCCACAAGUCCCCAAGCACAAAGUAUGGUUGCAGUUCUGGCUCCACUGUUUUCCAUCUUCUCUUACUUUUCUGUUUGUUCACACAUAAAUAAGCCAAACAAUUCUCUUUGAAAUUAAACCAAAAAAACCUAACACCACCUUAAAAUAGUCAAAAACAACCACAAUACACCAUUUCUUUGCAUUAUUAACACAAUUCAGUGGAUUGUUGCAAAGUAAGUUUCAUCCUAAUAACAUUAUUUAUUUGGUUCUAAAGAGCCUAGCGGUGAAACUCAAACACACAAAGUACUGAGAAGCGAGAAAUUGUAGGUUUGAACAUGUGCCCUAACAUAUCAAAUGUCUUUGCAACCUUUUACCAUCUGAGUUAUACUUACAAAAUAGUUUUAUCCUAAUAACAAAUUAAAUACUUGAACACAUUAAUUCAUAAACAACCACAUUACACAAUCUAUUCCCACUGUUAACUCAAUUGAAAGGAUAUUACCAAAGUAAGUAUAAUCCUAAUAAUCAAUCGAACACUUGAUCACAUUAAUUCAUAAACCUAACUUCUCUCAUUAAGUAGUUCGGUCGGUGAACUAAGAGACAUUGAACAUUGAAACAAUUUAAAAAUCAUGAAAACUGACAUAACCACUACCUUACUAACAUAACAUUUCUGUAUAAACUUUUUUUUCCAUAAACCGAACACAAAGUUUGAACCCUAAAAACCAACAUAACAAAUAACUUACUAUGCCUAUGUUUGGUUCCAUGUUUGAAGUAGAAUUGAUUCUAAUCUGAAUGUCUUUUGAAUCUAAAAGUGAUUUUUACACUUAAAUUUAUUGUUCAAAUCACUUUACAUUCAAUUCACUUAUAAGUAAAAUCAAUUUAACAAAAUCAAUUCGUUUCAAAAUCAAUUUUUACUAAAAACUAUCAAAAUCGCUAAUUUACUAUCAAAAUUCAUGAACAAAAACACAAUAGUUUGAAUCCUAAAAAUUAUCAAAAUCACUAAUUUACUAACAUUUGUCAAAACAAUUCAUAAACCCAACAUGAAUUUGAUUCAAAUUCCAAACAUUUAACAGAAAAUUAACAAAAAUCGAACUCAUAAAAUAAAUAAUUAUUAAAUAAAAUUGAAAAGCAUUGUUUUACUUUACCAAUGGAAAACUAUGAGCGGGAACAUGCGGCGUGGUAUGCUCAAGAAACCGACACAAAUUAGAAGCAGCAUCAACGGUUGUUUCAAUCGAAGUGGAAGAAACAGAGUUAUCAGAAGAGGAACAAGGUGUGUUAUUGUUUUCAAUUAACGUUAAUUCAUGUUCCUCUUGUUGUUCCUGUUCCUGUUGUUGUUGUUGUCUCUGUUUCCGUAGCGCCGGUGGGCAGUAGAAACGAUUCUCGACGUGAUGGCGGGUGUUACGACGGCCGACGAUGACGGCGCCACCAGAGACCGACAUUGUGUUUCCGGCGAUGAUGAAACGACGACGUUGAGAUGUAUGUAAAGGUAGGUCAAGAGUUUUGAUUGAGUCCAAACAAAACAAUAAACAAAGUUUUGUGACUCUGUGUGUGUAAGUGUUAGUUAAGUGAAAAUUGUGAACUGUGAAACACAUGGGUUUUAACUUUUUUUUUUUUUUUUUUAAUUUAUUUUAGUCAAAAAUAUAAAGUAUUUUAAUUUAUUUACACUCAAAAAUUAUAAACUUUUAAUUUAGUUGCAGUCAAAAAAUAAAAAUCAUUUUUUUUAAGGAAAAAAAAAAAACUUUCCCUUCUACGGUAGUUGAUUUAUUGAGAAGUAGUACAUACUUCUAGAAUGAUAUGUAUUCCGUCCCCACGCCUAAGCACUCUUUUUGACUAAGAAUUUGUCUUUAAUAUAAAGUUUUUUCAAAAAAUUACAUGCAUUUUUGUAAAAUAUAUCCCUAAUUAAUACUACUAAUUUAUUUUAAAAUAUGAAAAAUCAAAUUUAAUAUGCAUACAAAUAAAGGACAAUCUAGUAAUAUUAACACAUAAAAUAAACAUAUUAAUUGCACUAACAAUUUUUCUUAAAAAAUGUGAAAAAUGCAAAAUGUGUUUGCAUAUACAGGGACAAAGGAGUACUCUCUCCGUUUCUAGUUAUAAGUAAAAUUGACUUUUUAGAUUCAUUUAAUUAAUGUUGUAUGUAAUUCAUAUUAUGGACCACAUAUACUAUUAAUUUAAUAAAUCUAAAAAAAUCAAUUUCUUAUAAUUAGAAACUAGAAACUGAGGGAGUAAUAAGGAAGGAAAGGUAGGACACUAGAAGUGUCUAGAAAUAGGAUGGGUUACUCAAAGUAGGUCCAUAAGUUACUCAAAUAUUUUUCACUUAAUAUCGUACUAUUAUUAAACUUCAGAUAUAUAUUUUUCGUAUUUAUUUAUUCUUUUGUUGUGGGAGGGAGAGAAUUUUAUUAGUAAUAGUGUACUAAUAAUCAAAUUAUAAUUGUCUUGAAUGAGAUUCAAACUCUAUUUAUAAUAGUAUCAAACUCUAAUCAUUGAGCUGAUAUCUUUUUGACAAAAAGAAAAACACAAUGAAUCGAAAGAGCCUAAAAAUUACACAUAGUAUAUACGAGGUUUUAUUUGGGUGACAUAAAUGUAUUUUGGAUAAGAGAGAAUGAUGAAUGAAUGAUUAAAAUAAUUUAUUUAAAUGAGAGAGACUGAUUGAUUAAGAGAGAAAUAUGAACAAUGUCACCAAUAUCACCUAAAAACCAAUGUCAUCCAACUGCAAUCCAUAGAAUAUGAAACCUAGUUGGAAAAUAACCAAUUAGACAUCAUUCACUUUGUUUGUAUGUAUCCUUAAUGAUUAGGACCGAAUGACUUAACGCACGAAUUAAAAUUAAAUGCAAAAUAUAUUUUCUUUUUUAAGUUCAAAGGUUUCAUCAGGAUACAUAUAGUGUGGCAUUCUAGCAACACAUGAAUUCCAUCUUCAUAAUUAGCACUAGAAACAACACAAUUAGUUUGACACGAUACAUAUGUUGUGGGAAAGUAACCACGACAAACUCGCCACACCAAAUUCUUAAUCUUUGGUGGAACUUUGAGUUUCCAAAUUAAAUUGUAUCUCCCAAGUCUACGUAAAUGAGAGUUACCAACAAUAUUAUCCACACACGCGUUGUCGCACUGCAUACAAAAUAUUUACCAUUCUUCUCUGUCUUCCAUAAUAACUAAUACUUACCAUUUUUGUACCUUCUCUUUUAUUGACUAAAAUUUAUAUGAAGCCAUCAAAUUAUGAGGUUCAUAUAAAUUUGCAUGACACAUGCUAGUUAAUAAAAAAAAUUAUUAUAAAAUGUACAUGUUGCGAUACAAACAUACUAUUUUAAUUUUCUUAAUAUGCGUAAGUUUGUACAUGAUAAAAAAAUUCUUAUACUAAAUGUGUUUUUUUGUUGAUGAAAGCGAAAAGUGUGUUUUAAAUAGCAUUAUUCAUGGUAGUAAUUUUUACACGAGAGAGAUUAAAAUUUAAUUUGUCAUCAUUUAAAAGCAAAGAAAAUUACAUAACAAGUUUAUAUUGGUAAACUUAAAUAGGGGUAAUAGUCAUUUUAAUCCUGAAUGUGUAAUGAGUAGUCAGUAAAAUCCUUCAAUAUAUCAACAUUUUAAAACAGUCUCUAAUUAUGCCAUUCGUUAGUUAAAAAUAGUCCCAGUAAAAUAUUUUUUUGUACUGAGAUAUUAUUUUAGCUUCAAAACUAUUUUGACUAAUAAAAUGCACAAUCAAAAACUAUUUUAAAAUUUUGAUAUAUUCAAAGAUUAUUGUUACUAUUCAUUACAUAUUUAAAGAUUAAAAUGAUUAUUACCACUUCUAUACUACUGCAGUACUACUAAGAAAUUAGGUGAUAGGAUCCAUUCUCUAUAGCAAAUAGUACUGUCAGUAAAAAGUAGUAGAAGAGAAUUAAAGUUCACUCACCAGCUUGAUUGAAUUUUGAACCCCAUAAAGCUUGAAGAUUUGACUUGUCUCGAAGUUUCUAGAUAUUACGAGGCUUGUUUGAUUGAGUUUUGUUUACUUUUAAAAACUCUUUUGACCCUUAACUAUUUAAUUGGUAUCGCUUUGGUCCCUUAAUUAAAAAAAAAAAUUGUUUGAGGAUUUUAAGUUUUUUUUUAGUCUCGUUUUGGUCCAUUCUGUUAGAUUUCCGUUAGAAUUUUAAAAAAAAAUUAACUCCUGGACACAUGUCACCUUGUCAUUGGCUCUAAGUUUUUUUUUUUUUUUUUAUAAAAAAAAAAUCUCAGAGCCAAUAACAAGGUGACACGUGUCCACACUUAACGUUUUUUAUUAAAACUAACAGAAACCUAACAGAAGGGACCAAAACGAGACUAAAAAAAAACUUAAAAUCCUCAAACAAUCUUUUUUUUAGUUAAGGGACCAAAGCGAUACCAAUUAAAUAGUUAAAGGACCAAAAGAGCAUUUAAGCCUUUUUAAAAACUAUUUUCUAAAUCAAUUUUAUGAAACUGUUUUUCAAAUGAAAAAAAAAAAAAAAAACAGUUUGAUAAUUCUAUUUUUAAAAUUGUUUUGGGAAUGAAAAAAAUUGUUUGAUAAUUUGUUUUUAAAAUAUGUUUUGAUUAUUUAUUUCAUAAAAAGUAUAUUAAAUUUCUGGUUACACCCAGUUUUUUUAAAAAGUUUUUUAUAAUACCAAAAUUAUCCUUUUAUAUAAAUUUUCUUAAAAUCUUGAUUUCAUUCAUUGUCACUCUAAAAUUCCACUCUCUUUCACUCACCAACGAUUAAACAAUCCUGAUGUUCAAUUAAUCUCUAUGGAAGAUUAAAGAGUGAAUCCAAACAUCUUUCAUUCAUACUCGAUUGCAUAUAAAUAAGUGAAUUUUUUUUUCUUUUUCAAUAACGUUGGUUUCAAUUUUCUUCUUCUUGUUUAACUGCACUAUACGACAGUUUCAGUUUUACAUUGUUGACGUUAACUUAAAUUCAGUUUAAGUAGGUUCAUGUAAACUUAGUUUACAUAACCUAUUUAAACCGAGUUUAAGUAUGUACACUUAAACUCAGUUUACAUGACCUACUUAAACUAAGUUUACAUGUAUAUACUUAAAUUGAUAUUACGUAUAAUCAUUGAAGAAUGUUGAACUUUUAGAUGUACACUUAAACUUAGUUUACAUGACCUACUUAAACUGAGUUUACAUGACCUACUUAAACUGAGUUUAAGUAUGUAUACUUAAACUCCGUUUACAUGAGCGACUUAAACUAAGUUUACAUGAUCUACUUAAACUGAGUUUAAGUAUGUACACUUAAACUUAGUUUACAUGACCUACUUAAAAUAAGUUUACAUGUACAUACUUAAACUGAGAUUACGUAGAAUCAUUGAACAAGGUUGAACUUUUAAAUGUACACUUAAACUCUCCCUACUAAAACUGAGUUUAAGUAUGUACACGUAAACUCAGUUUACAUGACCUACUGAAACUAAGUUUACAUGACCUACUUAAACUGAAGAGGGAUUUUAGGGUGUAACCAAGAAAAAAGGAAAAUGCUUUUUGAAAAUUAAAUUUUAUGAAAGGGUAAUUUUGUCAUUUUAAGGUGCAAUCAGGAUUAAACAUGGUGUAAUUAGAAAAACUCUUAAAUUUAUACUUUAGUUUUUUAUAAGUAUAAUACAGUAUCAAAAGAGAUUAAUAAUUAUAAACCUUAAAAUUCCUCUAGAAAAAAGUAGGAAACUUAAAUGUGUCAUUUUUUACACAAACAUCCCGUUAGAGUUGUUCGCAAGUAUGCGUCGGAUAGAAAGGUCAUGACUCAGACAAAUCAACGAGGUCAAUUUAGAUUUCCUCAUAGUUUACACUAAAUCCGACCAAACCCGAAUUGAUUUGGUUCAAUAAUAGACUUAUGAUUUUAAACUGAUAAAUCUAUAAGUUGAUGGUAAAUAAUAAUUUUUCAAAAUUUACAUUGACUUAGUUUAGGAGUUUUGAGUGGUGUAUCUUGAGGUAAUUCAAUUUAGUUUAAAUGUUAAAGUUUUAAAUAAUGGACUUCAAUCAAAAUAUUAUGGGAGGGGUUUGUGUGAAUUUGACAAAAACGUUAAGGCAUCUAGUGAGGCGACGCUAAGAUGAAAUGUCAUCAUAGGGGAAACUCUUGUCAUGGUAGAGUUUAACAUAAAGAUUCAUGGGAGUAGUGAGUGGUUUGGAACCAAGUAAGCUCGUAUAUAUUACUAAGUUAAAGCAAUACUUGUGCAGGAAGAUGUAGAGUUACCAAGAUGUGAAUAUGCAACUUCUAAACCUAGGAAACAAUUAGUUAUUUAAUGAGCAAAUCUUGUCUUGGAAGUACCAACAAUGAUUACAUCAUCAUCAACAUAGAUCAAUAGGUCUUUAAUGGCUUUAUUUGGAUGCAUCUAAGAAAGUUAAAGGAAAGAGUAAGAAGGGAAAGAUUGUCUAAGGAAAGAAAAAGAGUAGAAAGUGAGAGGAUUGUUUUGGUUGUUUGGUACAAGGGAAAGUGGAAUAGAAAGUUGGAGGAAAGAAAGAUCUAUAUUUUCUAAUUGACAUAAUUGCCCUUAAACAAAAAUAAUAUGUUAGUAUAUAUAAACAUUGUAUGUACUUUAGUAGAAGAAUAAAAUAUGUCAUACAACAAUCGAAUCAUGUAUGCCUAGAGACUAACAAAAAGUUAAAUGGUGAAUUACUUAAAAAAAGCUAGGUGUGAAUUGAAAAAAUAAUAAAGAGACACCAGCACGACGACUUGCAAAAACGCAAAACCCACCAGAGCCACGACGACUUGCAACAAAGUGAACGCACGACUAACCGAAUGGAUUCCAAACCCAUCAACCACCUUGGAUUUGCAUCGCGUCCAGCAGUAAGAUAAACUCCGGUGAAGAUAAACGAGUCGCGGUGGUGCCGCCGACUGAAACCCCAUUUGGGGGUUGGUGAUGGAAGCCAUCCAAGACAAGCAACCACCACCACUUUUAGAUCUACAUCUUGAUGACGAAAUUUUGGAUUUGGGAGAAGAAGAGAUUGGUGUUUUUGACUUUAGAACUGAUUACAUAAUUUGAAACUUUUAACUUUAAAAGUGAUUUUUACAUUCAAAUUUAUUGUUCAACCCAUUUAUGUAAAUGUAUUUAUAUAAAUCACAUCACAUUCAACUCAUUUUGAAUUAAAAUUAUUUUUACAAAAUCAAUUUAUUCAAAAUCAAAUUUUGUUACCGUAAAUCAAAUAUACACAUGUUUCGAUAAGCUUCUGGUAUUAGAAAAUUUCGGUGUUCGAAUUGCAGUGACUCAUUGUGAUUUUGACAUCUAUGUUGUUUCUAACUAAAUAAAUAGUUAGUAUUUGGUUCAACAUUUUUUUCUUCUUCUUCUCUUUCUUCUUUCUAGAAUGGCGUCUUAAGACUGCAAUAUUUAUAGAUAUUUAUUGAGAGAGACUGCAAUAUUUCCUCUUUUUUGGAUAAUAUGAAGCAGAAAGAGUACACAUUUGUUGAAUAUAAUGCCGUAUAAUACGUGGUUCUUUGAAUGCUUCCAACUCAAGUUUUGACCUGUUCACAAAAUUCUUCAGACUCACCUUAAACUAAACCAGCUUGACAGUUUGAUAUUAUUUUUUUAAAGAGCAAAAAACGUCAUCGAAUUAAAGAAUAUUAAUCAAUUAAUUAAUUAAUUUUUUUGGUCUUGAUCAAUUAAUUAAUUAUACCAGUGGUAAACAUAAAAAACAGAUCUACAGUCACGCGGCAACAAAUCCAAAAAAGUAUGUCAAUGUCAUUAUUUGGUAAAUAUUUUAUUUAUCAACUUCAACUUUCAAGUUGCCCUUAAGAAACUUUCAAGUUUAAACUAAGACCUCAAAAAAAAAAAGUUAAUAAACUAAGACCUCUAAAAACAAAGGUAAUAAACUAAUAAGAAUAUUCUCUCAACAAAAAAUGAAACUAAGAAGAAUAUAUUUUGCUUAUUUACCAGAAAAAAAUAUUUUGAUUAGUCAAAAGAAGAAGAAUAUUGUGAAUUAAUUUGACACUGACGAUUUUUAGAGCUGUAGAUAUUUACGUAUUUAAUUGUUGAUGUCCAUUCAAGUGAUUUAACUUAAGUUGAGGUUUAUUCUUUUGUUACUAAGUUGGAGGUGGAGAAGGAGACUAUUUGCAUAGGAGGAGAAACGACCAGUAAAGUAGAGUGUGUUAUGUUGCUUGAUAAUAUUUUUUUUUUUGUAGGAUAAUGUAUUAGAUAAAUGGAUUUAGAAACAUUACCCUAUCAAAGGGUACACGGUAAAGGAGGUCAUCAUAACCCUAUGCCUAAUGAUCCACUUACUAUAGAUUUGCAUUCAAGCUUAAUUAGGAACAAAGCAGAACCUCUCAAGGUGUAAUUUUUCACAUGACGAACAAAGCAAUUCCUUUAUGAUAUAAAAUGUCAAUAUUGUUAUUUCUUUUUAAUCAAAGCAUAAUAAUAAAAAAAAAAACUUAUAAAAAAACUCAUCAAAUUCAUAAACAAACCUAAAUCUUCAUCAUAUAAAGAUAAAAACCCAAAGUUUAUUAAAAUUUUGCUAUAAAAAGGAUAACAAUUUUGACAUUUUAUAACGUAAAUGAUUAAAUCAGAAAAAGAAAAAGAUAACGAAGGAAAGUGUUACCUGAUUAUAAAAUAAAUUAUUAAAUUGAAAAAAAAAGUUAAAUAACUAAAAUGUUAUCUAUAAUUAAGUUAAUAGACGAAAUAUGUAAUUUUGCUAAUUAAUAUUGCGUAAGUUUUUAUUUAUUUUAUAUACGUUGUUUUGGAUUGAAAUUUGAGUGGUCUUAAAGGAGAGAAAAACAAAAGAGAAAAGAAAAAUUAAUAGUAGAUACAAUAAUUUUGUUAGUCCAAAUAAUAUAGUUUUCUUUAAAAAUAAUAUCAUUCAAAUUUAUGUCACGUCACAAUGAGAAAAAAAAUGGCCUAACGACCUUGUAUUACACAUCAUCAUCAUCAUCCAAAGUCUAAACAAUACAUCUUCAGUUCCUAUAAAUACAAGAGUGAACUCCACUAAUAAAUCACACAGGCAAACAAUUAACUUAUUAAUAGUUUGUUAUUUCAUACAUUAAUUAGAAAUUUAUAAUUCAUUAUCAUCAUGGGUGUCUUCAACUUUGAGGAUGAAACCACAUCUAUUGUAGCUCCUGCUAGACUUUACAAAGCUCUAGUUACAGAUUCUGAUAACCUUAUCCCAAAGGUUAUUGAUGCCAUCCAAAGUAUUGAAAUUGUUGAAGGAAACGGUGGCGCCGGAACCAUCAAAAAACUUACUUUCGUUGAAGGUUAGUAUAUAUGUGUGAAAAAUUGUAGUGGCAAGAAACUUUUUUUAACCCUAUGUAAAGAAAAUGUUUAAAAACUAAAUUGGUUUGAGAACAUGUUUUCUAUUUUUAAUUACAAAAUUAAGUGUUAGAAGAAGAACAGCUACGCCGACAUGGUCGACAAUUUAACAAAAGUUCCAUAUCACAAUAAAUAUCUACUUAGCAUAUGUUUGAAACUACGAUGAGAUUACUCUCAACACACGACCACCAAAAACUUAUAUCCUUAGCUUCAGGUUUUUUACGGUAAAACAAAAUGGGAAACAAGUAUUAAGAAUUAACCCUUCAAAGAAAGUAUUAAGAAUUAUGAUACAUAACAUAAAUAGUGGAAGUCAACAAAGCAUUUUUGAUGACAUUAUUACUAGUAUUAAUUUUAUUUUUUUUUGAGGGGAAAGUAUUAUUAUAUUAUAUUAUUAUAUGCGUUUAAUGGAGAUCUAAUGUCGGUGUAAAAUUAUUUUACCGUCGGUAAGACCAAAAAUAAAUAAAUUAUUUUACCAUGACAACUAUGACAAUUCACCAUACUACCAAAUAAGCCCAUUUAAAAACAGUUUUUCAAUACUUGACCAGAAAAACUAGUAUUUUUUAAAAGUAACAUCAAAUAUUUGACUUGUUGAUUGUCAAGUGUAUAUCCUCUUUUCUUUUAGUGUUAUGUUAACUUGUAUCCUAAGAGUAUAAGAUAAGAAACUAAAUGUAGAGAUUUAACUUUGAAAUUUGUACAUCAUAAUUUUUUUUAAUGACACAUUGUGCAACAUAAUCUUAAAAUCUUUUUUUUUCUAAAGGAUAAUCUUAAAAUCUUAAAAACUUAUAUUUUCUUUUAUUAUAUAUAUAUUGGAUUAUUUGUUACUGUGUUUUUUAUAUAAUUUUUUUUUUAUGAGAAACAGUAAUUUUUUAAAAUUAUUUUUAAUAGCUUCUUAUACUAAUUUUUAAUAGGCUUAAUUGCACUUUUGGACCGCUAUCUUUNNNNNNNNNNNNNNNNNNNNNNNNNNNNNNNNNNNNNNNNNNNNNNNNNNNNNNNNNNNNNNNNNNNNNNNNNNNNNNNNNNNNNNNNNNNNNNNNNNNNGAUGCCACGUCAGCGUUGACCGAGUCAACAAUGAAUUUGGGGUCCAAAACUGCCAAAGAAUCAAAACAUAAGGGGCUGUUUUGUAUUUAAAUUAGUUAGGGGUCCAUAACCGCAACUUUUGAAAAGAUAGGGGUAUAAAAGUGCAAUUAAGCCUUUUUAAUAACCUAAUUGAACUAAGUGAAUGUCCAUCAUGUUAGUAAUUUGUGAAACGAAUCAAUUAUUAUGAGCAGGUGGUGAAACAAAGUAUGAUUUGCACAAAGUGGACUUAGUAGAUGAUGUUAACUUUGCUUACAACUACAGCAUAGUUGGUGGUGGUGGACUUCCAGACACAGUGGAGAAGAUCUCCUUUGAGUCUAAAUUGUCUGCAGGGCCAGAUGGAGGAUCCAUUGCAAAGCUUACUGUGAAAUACUUCACCAAAGGUGAUGCUGCACCUAGUGAAGAGGAAAUCAAGGGUGGCAAAGCUAGGGGUGAUGGUCUUUUCAAGGCUCUUGAAGGUUACGUUUUGGCAAAUCCUGAUUACUAAAGCAUAUAGCUAAUUGCUUGCUUGCUUUAUACAUGGUGUGUUGUGAUGCAUUUUAUUAUAUCAUGUGGGCUUGAUUUGGUUGCCAAAUGUAAUUUUCUAUUUUCCGUUUGCUGAAGUUUGAGAUUGUAAGUCAUAUGUGUACCUCCCUUCAAGAAAUUAUAAUAAUACUUCAUCUAUUCAUUUUUACUUUUUUUUUAAAAAAAUAAAAAUUGUAUGCAACUAUUUAUAUGUGGCUUUCGAAUUUUAAGGUUAUUGUUAGAACGAAAACUAAUAACUGAAGAUUAAAUAAGAGAACGAAAGAAAAAACAAUGAACAUACAAUAUUUUUUAACACAGUUCAAUCAAUUGUACCUACCUAUGUGACUAUAGAUCAACUAUUGUUCUAUUUCUAUUACUGUGACAAGAAUUAGGGUUUCAUAUUACAAGCUGUAUAUAUGAAUUAUAUGUUAAGAGUCCCACAUCGGUUAGGAGUUGGCCUGACAAUUUAUUUAUAAGUGGGGGGCAAUCCUCACCUCACAAACUGAUUUUGUGGGGUUGUGUUAGGCCUAACCACGAUUUCUAAUUCUAUACUUCAUCAGUUAUACUCAUCAAUCUUUUAGACUCUAAGAUAUCUUGGUUAACCAAAAAAUAAUUGAACAUAAGACAACCCAUUCUCCAUAAAACAAUUCUCACACAAUCUUUCCAUAUCAACAUACACCGUGGCUUCUUAAAAAUAAUAAACCCUAUGAGAAAAGUAAAAAAACGAGGCAAUCUUGAGAACAUAGUGGCCAAAUAUUAGAGGACAAUUGGUAUGAAAUGAAUAAAAAAGGGAAAAAUCUUACAAAUGAAUGAAGGAGUACAAGAGUGUUUAUAUAAUGGAAGCAUGAAAAUAACUAUAACUAGAUCAAAAGAGAAAAGAGUAAAUGUCCUAAAAUGUCCUCUAUCUCUCUUGGUAUGAUUCUUUCUCUUAUCUUCUUCAUUGUGCAAUAUCCUCCCACAAGUUGGAGGUUGGUAGAUAUCCAACAUCCCCAACUUGGAUAGAAGAAGAUUGAAAGGCUGCAGAAGUAGUGACUUGGUGAAGAAGUCUGCAACUUGAUCUUUAGAGGAAAUAGGUAGUAGCUUGAAUAAUCCAGCUUACAUUUUUUCUCUAAUAAUAUGGCAGUCAAUCUCAAGGUGUUUGGUAAUUUGUUCAUGAAAGACUAGAUUAACAGCGAUGUAGAUAGCACUUUGAUUGUCACAGUAAUGAACAUGUGCUUUGGUACAUUGAAUCUCUGAUAAGGUAAAGCAACCAUUGCAAUUAACAACUAGUAGAUGCAAGUGCUCGUUAUUCAGCUUCUAAUGUGAUCUAGAGACUGUAAGUUGUUUCUUUGUUCUCCAAGAAACAAGAGAUUUGCCAAGAAAGAAUCAUUGACCAUAGAUUUACCACUUUCUUACAUGGAAUAAUUUGGUGAAUUUGCCAAAUUUGACAUCACAUCAUCGCGAUAUCUAAAAUUGUAUCGUGCAAUGAAGCGUGUCUUUGGUUUCAUGGUACAUAAAUACAAAAGUGAUUUUAUACACAUAAAAUUAAUUCUAAUAUGUGAUGUCUACCGAAUAUGUUUCUUUAGAAUUGAUUGUAUAAUUUGAAACUUUUAACUCUAAACUACAUUAAAGUUUACUGUUCAACCCAUCUACUAUUAAUUUAAACAUAAAUCAUAUCACAAUCAUCUCAUUUUUAACUAAAAUUAUUUUAACAAAAUCCGGUUGACAAAAUUCUAAUGAUAUCAUGAUCUUACUGAAGAGUCAAAAUUAAGCUUUUGAUCAAUUGCAGUAAUUCAUCGUAAUUUUGACAUAUAUGCUGUUUAUAACUAAAAAAAAAUUAUUGGUAAUGUUAACUUGUGUUCUAAGGGCACAUGUUAAGGAACUCAAAAAUAACAAUUUUACAUUGAAAAACAUAAUAUUUUAACUUUUAAGAAGUUAAAUGCACAACUUUUUGAUACGUACUUCUAUAAUUAGUUCUUUAACAUGUGCCCUUAAGGACAAAAAUUAGCAUUUGUCAUAAAUUAUUUGUAUUAAAUUCAACGUUUUUUCUUCUUCUUCUCUUUCUUCUUUCUAGAAUGGCGCCUUGAAUUGUUCAAAAAAAAAAGAAUGGCGCCUUGAGACUGCAAUAUUUAUAUAGACCGCAAUAUUUUCUCCAAGUUGAAUACUAUGCAAUACUAUAAGACUAGGACUCCCGAAUUUCCUCUUCUUUUUUGGAUAAUAUGAAGCAGAAAGAGUACACAUUUGUUGAAUAUAAUGCCGUAUAAUACGUGGUUCUUUGAAUGCUUCCAACUCAAUUUUUGACCUGUACACAAAAUUCUUCAGACUCACCUUAAAAUAAACCAUCUUGACAGUUUGUUAUUAUUUUUUUAAAGAGCAAAAUACGUCAUCGAAUUAAAGAAUAUUAAUCAAUUAAGUAAUUAAUUUUUUUGGUCUUGAUCAAUUAAUUAAUUAUACCAGCGGUAAACAUAAAAAGACGGAUCUACAGUCACGCGGCAACAAAUCCAAAAAAGUAUGUCAAUGUCAUAUUAUUUGGUAAAUAUUUUAUUUAUCAAUUUCAACUUUCAAGUUAAUAAACUAAGACCUCUCAAAAAAGGUAAUAAACUAAUAAGAAUAUUCUCUCAACAAAAAAUAAAACUAAGAAGAAUAUAUUUUGCUUAUUUACCGAAAAAAUAUUUUGCUUAGUCUAAAGAAGAAGAAUAUACUUUGCUUCAGCAAAAAAUGUAUUUUGUAUGUAUUGUAGUUGAGGUUUAUCAUAAAUUCAUAAUGCUAUUGUAGUUGAUAUGAGACGAAUAGUCCUUUAUCUUUUUUGUCCUUUAUACCAUAAAAGAUUAAAUCGAAAAAAGAAAAAGAUAAAAGACGAAAAUGUUACUUAAUUAUAACAUAAAUUAUUAAAUCAAGAAGAAAUGAUAAAUGACGAAAAUGUUAUCUCAAAUUAAGUCAAGGCACGAAAAAUGUAAUUUUGUCAAUUAUAUAUAUUGCUUAAGUUUUUAUUUAUUUUAGGUCAAAUACCUCUCGGAGUCCUUUAAGUUUCACGUUUGUAACGGAUAAGUUUUUUAAUUUUUUAAAGUUUCAUAUUGGUCCUUUAAGUUAUUGAAAAAUUAUGUCGUUAACCUUUCAGUCAACCUCCGUUACAAAAACGUUGAGAUGUCCAUUAUGAUUGACAUGAUAUAAGGCGCCGCGUUUUUUCCAUUCCAUCGUGUUCCAAUUUGAAGAAUCUAGGCAAUUUGAAGCCAUGCUUUUCUUAAAAAAGCUUCAAAUUGGUUGUUAAUGAGGUUAGGGUUUUCAAUUUGGGGAAGAAUGGGUGAAGAUUGAAGAAGAGUGAUGAGGAAUGUGAUGGGGUAGUAUUGGAACACAUUGGAUAGGCCAGAACAUGGCGUUUUAUGCCACAUCACAUAUUUAACGGACAAUUAAACUUUAUUGUAACGGAGGUUGACUGAAAGGGUAACGACGUAAGCUUUUAAUAAUUUAAAGAACCAAUCUAAAACUUUAAAAAUUUAAAGGACUGAUCCGGUACAAACGUAAAACUUAUCUCAGGAGAUAUUUGACCUUUAUUUUAUAUAUGUUGUUUUGCAUUGAAAUUUGAGUGGUCUUGGAGGAGAGAAAAACAAAAAAGAAAAAUAAAUAGUAGAUGCAAUCAAUAAUUUUGUUAGUCCAAAUAAUAGUUUUCUUUAAAAAUAAUAUCGUCCAAACUCAUACAAUUAAAAAUAGUAUUCAAAUUUUAUGUCACGUCACAAUGAGAAAAAAUAGCCCAACGACCUUGUUUUACACAUCAUCAUCAUCAUCUAAUGGCCUAUCUAAAGUCUAAACUAUACAUCUUCUUUUCCUAUAAAUACAAGAGUGAACUCCACUAAUAAAUCACACAGGCAAACAAUUAACUUCUUAAUAGUUUGUUAUUUCAUACAUUAAUUAGAAAUUUAUAAUUCAUUAUCAUCAUGGGUGUCUUCAACUUUGAGGAUGAAACCACAUCUAUUGUAGCUCCUGCUAGACUUUACAAAGCUUUAGUUACAGAUUCUGAUAACUUUAUCCCGAAUGUUAUUGAUGCCAUCCAAAGUAUUGAAAUUGUUGAAGGAAACGGUGGCGCCGGAACCAUCAAGAAACUUACUUUCGUUGAAGGUUUUUAUUUUUAUUUUUUUAUUAUAAGUAAUCUAAUGGUUAGAAAUCUUAAUUCUUAAUACUUGUUUUUCAUAUUGUUUUACGAUAAAAAACCUGAAAAUACACAUAUAUGUUUUUGGUAGAUUACUCUCAACACACACGUAUAUCAAAACUUAUAUUUGCAGUUUCAACAGUAAAACAAUAUCGGAAACAAGUAUUAAGAAUAAGGCUUAAUUGCAGGUCUGAUCUCUUAUGUUUACUUUAGUUUUUAAGUUGAUCCUUUAUGUUUUAAAAGUUUUAAGUUGGUCUCUUACGUUUUAAAAGUUUUAAGUUGGUCCAAAACGUUACUCACGUUGGAAUAAGUUAGUCCCUCCAGUCACUUAACGUUUAAAGAUCCAUGUUGACAAUAUGGGUGAUGAAACUUAACUUAUUUAGAAAAUCAAUUUUAAAACAUUUUUUAUUUUUUUUUGUUUUAUUAAACUCAAUAUCAUGUCGCGGAAGGACUAACUUUAUUCCAAUGUGAGUAACAUUUGGACCAACUUGAAACUUUUAAAGCGUAAGGGACCAACUUAAAUCUUUUAAAACAUAAGAGAGUAACUUGAAAACUAAAAUAAAUAUAAGUGAUCAAACAUGCAAUUAUAAGCCUAAAAAUUAAGAUAUAUAACAUAAAUAGCGGAAGUCAACAAAACACAUGAGAAUAUUCUUUUGAUGACAUCAUUACUAGUAUUUUUUUUAAAGAAAUCAUUACCGGUAUAUUAUUACAUCAUAGAUCUUAUCUUCGUGAGUUUAGCUCAGUUGAUAGAGACAAUGUAUAAUAUAUGCAAAGACCGAAGUUCAAACAUCAGUCACCAUAAAAAAAAAAUUAUGGAUCUUGCUAACAAGUGCCCUAAAAGCAUUGUUUAAAGAACCCACAAAAAUAAAUUUUGUCUUGAAAAUAUAAGGCAAACACAUGUAAAAAUCAUAACUAUACAAUUUUCAAUAUAAAAAUUACUAUUUUUGAAUGCUUAAAUAGUGCCCUAAGAACACUUAUUAACAUUUUUCUGAUAUUAUAUGUGCUUAAUAGAGAUCUAAUGUCGGUGUCUCAUAAGUCAUAGCUCAACUGGCAAAAAUACCGAAAUUGUUAUGCCGGACGUCAUGACCGGGGUUCGAACCUCAAUACCUCCACUUUGUGUGUGUGAGUUUAUGGUGGCUUUGCCAUCUCUUCUAUAUACCAAAAAAAAGAGAUCUAAUGUCAGUGUAAAAUUAUUUUACCGUGACAAUUAUGACAAUUCACCAUACUACCAAAUUAGCCUAUUUAGUAACCCUUUUUCAAUACUUGAUAGAAAAACUCUUUUUUGAAAGUAACCACCAUAUGUUACUCUUGUGGAUUGGAUUAUUUGUUACUAUGUUUUUUAUAUAAUUAUUUUUUUGUGAGAAACAUAAUUUUUUUUUAAAUUAUUUCGGCUUAAAUACAAUUUUGAUGCCCCUAUUUUUAAAAUUGUUAAUUUUUGAUACCUUUAUUUUUAAAAUCUGUUUUUUAUUCAAUUAUUUAAAAGGCUUAAUAGCAGUUUUAGCCCUUAAAUAUUACGAAGUUAAGAUUUUGUCCCCUAACAAAAUAAAAUACAAUACAUCCCCGUAAGUACUGCCCUUUUUGUAGUUUUGGCCGCUCAGACCAAUUUUGACCAAGUCAUUACUUAUGUAGACGCAACGUGUGUAUUUUUUUUAAUUAUUAAAAAAUAAUUAAAAUAAUAAUUUUUUUAUAAAAAAAAUUAAAAAAUUGAAAAUUAUACACGUGACGUCCACACAGCAUUUACUUGGUCAAAAUUGGCCUGAGGGGCCAAAACUGCAAAAUGGCAAUACUUAGGGGGAUGGAUUGUAUUUUAUUUUGUUAAGGGGCCAAAAUCGCCUAAUACUUACGGGGCCAAAACUGGUAUUAAGCCUAUUUAAAAAGUCAACAAAAUAUUUUGGUUUCAUUCCUCUCUGAAUGAUGUGGCAUGUCCAUUAAUGACAUGAUGUUUGUGAUUGAACUAAGUGAUUUCCAUGAUGUUUAUGAUUGUGAAACGAAUCAAUUAUGCGCAGGUGGUGAAACAAAGUAUGAUUUGCACAAAGUGGACUUAGUAGAUGAUGUUAACUUUGCUUACAACUACAGCAUAGUUGGUGGUGGUGGACUUCCAGACACAGUGGAGAAGAUCUCCUUUGAGUCUAAAUUGUCUGCAGGGCCAGAUGGAGGAUCCAUUGCAAAGCUUACUGUGAAAUACUUCACCAAAGGUGAUGCUGCACCUAGUGAAGAGGAAAUCAAGGGUGGAAAAGCUAGGGGUGAUGGUCUUUUCAAGGCUCUUGAAGGUUACGUUUUGGCAAAUCCUGAUUACUAAAGCAUAUAGCUAAUUGCUUGCUUGCUUUAUACACGGUGUGUUGUGAUGCAUUUUAUUAUAUCAUGUGGGCUUGAUUUGGUUGACAAAUGUAAUUUUCUAUUUUCUUUUGCUGAAGUUUGAGAUUGUAAGUCAUAUAUGUGUACCUCCUUUCAAUAAAUUAUAAUAAUACUUCAUCUAUUCAUUUUUACUUUUUUUUAAAAAAAUGUAUGUAACUAUUUAUUUGUUGUUUUUGUUAUGAAUAAUAUUAAUAAUAUAACGUGGAUUUCCAUUGUCCAUAAGCUUUCUAUAACUCCUAUGUUUUAGUCAUAUGACUCUUCAUACACUUAUACAAAAGUUCUCAUCUUUUCUAUUUUUGAUCUUAUCAUUUAGUUUAUUUUCUAUGAAAAGUUGAUAAUAUGAGGAAAUGAGUCUCACAUUUGGGGAUAUAUGUGAAUCAAUACACAUAAUGAUCAUGUGGACCUGAUAUAUAUUUUAUAACUUCAAUAGAUGCAUAACUAAAUGGUCACAUGUAUGUUUAGUCUCUACUCAAAACUAAAACUCUAUGAGAUUAUUUGAUCAACUAAUUUGAUUAAGAUCUCACUCGCUUUGUUUAAUAAGUGUUGAAUGUACAUGAGAAUUGGUAUUGAACAUAUAGUUGCAUAUGUUCAUGUAUACAUACGGGCUUGAAUAUCCAUUCAUUAGUUGUCUAAUGUUAAUUGUAUGAUCAAUAGCACUUUUGAGAUCAUAUCUAAUGUUACUUGAGAAUAUGAAAUCUUUCAUUUUGAGACAUCACUUCACAUCCAGCCAACAAGUUAUCAUAUGUAAGUCAUCCCCUAGUUCACAAUGAAUUUGAUUUUUGGUCUAUAAACAUAAUAUUUCCCAUAUAAGCAUUUUUGGAUGUGUUUGAUAUGUUUCAAUUGCUCCAAUAUAAUGCACUUAAAUGGGUCGUAUGAGAAUAUUGAGAAGCUAUUAUUGAUAUGAAUCUCAUCUAUUAUAAAAUAUCUUGAAUACAUAAUUAGAGAUUAAUUAUAGCUUAAUAUAUUGAUUAUCAAUUGAUAAAUUAGUUUUCUCAAUAUUAGGGGGAGAAAAUAAACAACUGAAUAUAUGAACCAUAAGUUCAAAUGGAUAUAAGAAGUUGAGUAUAUGAACCAGAAGUUCAAAUGAAUAAGAAUUGAAUAUAUGAACCUGAUGUUCGAAUGAAUAUAAACAGCUGAAUAUAUGAUCUAGAAGUUCAAAUGAAUUGAUUGAAAUAAAAAAGUAUGAUUAUCUCACCUUGAUCCUCAUAUAAAUCAGUGUAAACCAGAAGUUUAAAAUACGAUUUAUUUGCAAAGUUAAACAAACAAAAUAUCAACUACUAAUAAUCCAAUCAAAAUAGAUCAUGUCUCAUUUGAACAAUCUAACUUAAUGAAAAGAUGCAUUUUUAUGCAAAAUUAAACUAGCUUUGCAAAACGAAUGGUUUUUGGUGCAGUAGUCCAUGUAUGGAAGAUGUGAAAAUAAAAUGAGAAUCAUGAAUUAUUUAAUUAUAAAGUUGGGCACAUUGUUCAAGAGUAUUGAUGAAAACCAACUAUUAAUUUUGAAGAGAUCUAUUAACUAUAAAGUGAAUUCAAGUACAUUAUCAACUUGAUUAAGUCUAGCAUCACUUGAAAGCAUCAAUCUAUAUAUGAAGUACAUGUUACAAUAUAUUUAUAUGACUCACUUGGUAUUUUUAUAUAAAAUUUCCCGAAGGAAUUAAUUUUAUUGCGACAUACAAUUCAUAUUCUCAAGGAGAUUACUUAAUCAAAUCGAAAUAUAGAAAUGUGUUGAGUAAUAUUCUUAAUGAAUAUUUUCUAAAAAAGUGAUAUAAAAAUGAUACCAUUUGUACAUUUCUAAAUAAACCUGAGAACUCGUAGAGAAUUUUUGAAAGUUGAUUUAUUAAAGAAAAAAUAUUGAGAUGAAAUAUGUAGAAAGGGUCAAUAUUUAUUUGAGAUUACAAGUUGAGUAUUUGAAGAGUAACACUUUUGUUAAUCAAGAAGCUUAUACAACAAAGUGCUAAAAUCUUUAUAUAUGGACAAAUCUGUAGAUGUAACACUUAAAUCUCUUUGAAGAGUAACACUCAAAUGGUUGAAAAGUCACUGGAUGUAGACAAAGAUAUAGUUUGAGAAUUCGAGUAAAUUAUGAAGAACUAGUUGGUUCUAAAAUACCAUAUUGUAUUUUAAUUAAAGGACAAUAAUGUACCUUGAUAAUUAUUCAUGUUAUCAUAUAUUAUUUUUAUUUUAGAUAUGCAUGUUAUUUGUUUGAUCCUCAAUAUUAAUGUGCUUGAUUGAGGUUUAUGAUUGAACACAUAGAAGAAAAUUUGUGGUUUGUCUUUCAGAAAAAUGAGCAACAAUAAUUUAUGAAUAUAAUACCAUGUGCAUUAAUUGUUCAGUUGAAAGGAUAUAUUCUUCAGAAGAACGAUGAUAUACAUAAUCAACAAAUUUUUUCGUGUGAUAAUCUUGUAGACGUUUUCAUAAAGUCACUCCCAAGCAUGAAUUUUGAACAACUAAUACAAAAAAUUGAUCUUCAUCAUCUUGGAGAUGAUUGUUUGGAUGAAGGAGAGAUAUAAAUAUAUUCUGCACUCUAUUUUUCUUCACCAUGGUUUUGUUCCACUGAGGUUUCCUGGUAAUAUUUUUAAUGAGACAAAUAUAUUAGAUAUUGUACUCUUUUUCCUUCAUUAUGAUUUUUUUUUUCUGUCCUUUUCUUAGUAAGGUUUUAAUGAUGCAUAUCCUUCAUGAACAUCUAAAAGGGAGUAUUAUGAAUAAUAUUAUUAAUAUAAUAUGGAUGUCCAUUAUCCAUAAGCUUUCUAUAUUCCUUAACUCCUAUGAGUAAUGACUUUACUCAUUACAUUUGGCAUUUAGUCCUAUGAGUCUUUCAUACACUUGUAACUCAGGACAUUUAUAAGAUUUAUAUUCAAUGUAAAGAAUACACUUAAAAAGAGAAUAAUACAAAAACUUUCAUCUUCUCUAUGUGCUUUGAUCAUCUUCUCUAUUUUUUUUUUUUUCAUCUUGUCAUUUAGUUUAUUUCAUAACAGUUUUGAAAUUUGAAGGUUAUACUCAUCAAAUUUUUAGACUGAGAUAUCAUGGCUUACCAAAAAAUAAUUGAACAUAACACAACCCAUUCUCCAUAAAACAAUUCUCGCACAAUCUUUCCAUUCCAACAAACCCUAUGGCUUUUUUUCAAAAAAAAAAAACCCUAUGGAAAAAGUAAAAAAAAAAAAAACGAGGCAAUCUUGAGAACAUAAUGGGUCUCCCAACUUUUACUUCUAAUGUCUCAGAUGAAUGACUACCAGUAACACACGAUUAAGAUCACAUAAAUUAAUCACUGAUUAAUAUUUUAAGAGAAGUUUAUUGCCUAGAUCUUGAUCGUACCCGUCGUGGGUGUUGUUAAGAGUUAAUUUCAAUCUCCAUGAAAAUGUAAACUAAGCUUGCAAUGUGCAGAGGCUUGAAGAAGACAAUGAAAAAGAGAGAAAGAAAAUUUUAUUAUUCAACAAUCUAAGUAUUACAAUGAGGUGAUAUAGCUUUAUAUAAAGUGUAAUUAACUACUAUAACCUAUAGCUACUAACAAAAUAUAACUAACAUAUCUAACCAAUUGCAAAACAGUUACAAUUGGUUAGAUUAGCUUAGUUGUCAACAGUUACUUGUAGCACAAGUAACCACUGCAAUACAAUGUGAAUUAGGCUUUAACAACCCCCUCAAGUUGGAAUAGAUGUUAAUUGUUCCAAGCUUGGUCUGUAGAGUGUUGAAAGGGCCAGGAUGAAGAAGCUUGGUUAGAAUGUUAGAAAACUUGAUCCUACAUUCCUUUUGUCUAUUUUUUUUUUGUAUAUUAACAUCCUUUAACUAAUUAAGACUAAUUACUGUUAUAGAGUAAUCAAUAUUGUUGGUUAGAUUGAGUUAGUUAAACUAGUAGUUAGUUAGUUUUUCUAACUGUUACUUACAAUGUAAGUAACUGAUGUUGAUUGAAGUUAAUUGUUAUACCUGCUAUAUAAAUCAAUUACAUUUAACUCUAACUCUCAAGAAUGUCAAUAAUAUUUUGAUACACAUUAAGUUAGGAGAAGGGACAAAGUACAUUCAUAAAAACAAAACAUCACCACAUAAUAAAGGUAACCAAACUAAAGUUUAUCAUCAAUCCACCUAAUAGUUACCAACAUAAAGUUGUCUAAAAUAUAAAAGACCAUGAUAUGUUUGAUCUAACAAAAGAUACCAAAAAGCAACCAAGCUAAAGUUCAUCUAUCUUGUUGUUGAUGUUAUCACCCUCUCCUUCCUGUUGAAUUGAAGUGUUCAUAUUAGGCACAAUAUUCCCAAUAAUUUGCUUCAAGCGCUCCAUCUUCUGUCUUAGUGUUUCUUGUUCAAGAUUUUUCUUUUUAAGUUCAACGGUUAAUGCUUCAAUUUUAGCCCCCAUAACAGCAACUUUUUCUGAAGAAACUACAUCGGUAGAAAUUGAAGGCGAUGGUCUCAAAGAUUCUUUGAAAACAACAACUUGAGAUCCUAAUUUAAGUAUGUUCUCCUUCUUGUUAAUGCCUCCAACAAUUUCCAUAUAAAUACCAUUGUCAAUUUCUUUAGUAGGUUGUUGACUAAUAAUCUCACCACUUUGAGACUGUUUCUCAAACAUUUGAGUUUUGUACAUUUCCUGCAAAAAAGAGUUACUAUUAGUAACAUAAUUUAGAUUUAUGAAAGAUAACAAAAAAAGACUGAUGUAUACAUACAUCUAUCUUCGCUUGUGUUUCAUUAAACCACUUUUUGGUCUAUGAAGUUUUCGUAUAGCUCAAACCUUGUUGGUUCUCUAUCUAAUUCCACUCUCUAAAACAUAACCAACAUACAACAAGUUAGUAUAAACAUAUUUAAAUUGUAAUUUAAAGAAAAAUAAUUACUAACCAUUUUUUUCCUUUCUAUUCUAGCAGAUAUGGAUCCUCCACUAUGAACACUGUGUCCAACUUUAGAUUGCCUAUUUUGUUUAUUAGUCAUGGAAUAUUUUCGCCAUUUCUCUUCUUCCCAUUUAGCCUUCAAUUGUUUCAAGUUGUUUAUUAGUGAAGGAAUAGAAACAGAAGUUCCUUCUCGUUGUUGUUGCUUGGCUAAUUGCUUCUUCUUCCGGGCUGUUCUUUCGAUUUCAGAGUGAAAGAGUAAUUAAUCUUCCAGAAACAAGUUAGAAACACGACUGAUAAUAUAUAUACAAGAAGGAACUUCUUUUAUAUAUAUAUAUAUAUAUAUAUAUAUAUAUAUAUACACACAAGAAAUUAAUAUGUACAAAAUUGAUUAAAACAAAAAUUCUUGCUGCAAUGCUUAUGAUAUCUUAAUGUCAGUCCCUGGAAACGGUACCAUUUUGAUGUAGUAUCAAAAGUAAGUAUGUAUUAGUAUCAUAUCUAUAGGGACUAGUGCGAUAUUCGUAAGCCGUUCAACAAUUUUUUAUCGUUUUAAGUUAAGGUUUUGUAAAAUUGUUUGUUGCGAAAACCUAAUCGGACUAUAAUGCGAUAAAAUAAAAUUGAGUUAGACAGAGGAUUAAAGCUGUUGGGGUUAGACUUCAUUAAGAAAAUGUCGCAUAUAUUCUCUUAAUCAAGCAUAUAGAUUCUAGCUAUAAAUCAAUAUAUUAUCAUGUUUCACUCGACAACAUCAAUUAUGUCUAAGUAAUAUCGUGAAUUCAAUCGUAUUGUUUAGUCGACAAUUUCUCGGCCUAUUAAACAAUACAAUAACAUGAAGAGUUGAUACUUAAGUGAUUAUCAAAACCUAAAACCAUUUCUAGUAUUUAGGGGUUCAAUAGAUUAUUAUCCUAUGUGUAGAUUCAAAAGAUAUUUCUCAAUAACAUUUCAAAUCAUAAAUCAAGCAUGAAUAAAUAAUAUCAAUAUCAAUAAACACUAGAAUCAUAUAUUGCUUAAGAUCAAAGAGAAUACAUAGUGAGUUUGUUAAUUACAUUUUUAUUGUCAUGGUAGCCUUACAAAAUUGGAAGAAAUGUGUGGAAUACUUAUCAAGAUGUUGAUUUCUCAAUUGAAUCUUGUUGAAUCCACCUUAUAACACUCUUGCUUUGUGUUUCUCUCUAAGAUUCGUUCUUGUUUCUCCCUAAAAGUACAAGUUAUCUUUGGUUGGAAAUGAAUGAGCGGCUUUUAUACUUUUUCUGAUAAGUGCCUGCUCGCCGAGUGAAGGGAGGCUCUCCAUGGCGUAAGACAUAGAAAGCAUAAAAUGACUUAUUCAUUAUUUUUGAGCUUUUCAUGAGAUAAAUUGUAAAACAAGUAACCAAAGUGUCUAAAAUAUAAAUGAUAUUUAAAUACUUUCUGACACUUAUCACGUACAUAAACGAUAAGAUACAUUUUAUUUCAAGUUUUAAGUUUUUAUGAAUUUAAAAAUAAAAUAAAAGAAAAUAAAGCAAUCGUUAGCGACGGAUUUAAAGACAAAUAUAUCUAGAGACAACAUUAGCGACGGUCUUUAGAGACGCAUGUAGGGACCAAUGUUGUUAGAGACGGACAACUGCAUUUCCAUCUCUAGAUUUUGUCUCUAAACAACUUUUGUAUGCACUUAUCUAACAUAGUAUCUCAUUAGAGACGGAUUUUUAGACGGAUAGUAAUCAACGACAGAAUGUUCCAUCACUAAAAUCCGUCUCCACACACAUCAUCAUAUUCCGUCUCCAAAUUAUAAAUUUCCGUCUCAUCUUCCGUCUCUGCUAGAGACGAAGUGUUUCCAUCUCUAAAUUCCGUCGGGAUAUCAAUUUUUUUUUUUUGAAGGAGCUUAUCAACUUUUUUUAGUAGUGCAAUAAAGAUCAAACGUAAAAAGUAAUAUGUUUGCAAAGAAUAAAAACUAAAAUCAAAACUUUUGAUAUUGAUGAUGACCAUUUGUAUAUUUAAAUUUAAAAAUAAUAAUUAGAGAGAUUGCAAUAUUUGGUCAAAGCUGAAUACUAGCAGUACUAUUAUAAGAGAACUUCUUAUUUGGGUUUGCAUUAUUUGAUCGUGCGAAGCAGAAAGCUAUGUCAUUCAACCAAAGAGUACACAUAUUUUGAAUUUAUUGAUGUAUCCUGUCUGGUUCUUUGAAUGCUUCCAACUCAAUUUUUGACCAGUUCACAAUUUUUUUCUUUCGUUUUUCAGAUUCACGUUAAAAUAAUGGGUUAUUAAUGUUUUACCUUCGUAAUAUAGACCAUUUUUAUUUUCCCUUGUAAUUUUUUUUUAGAUUCUAUCAUUGUAAUUUAAAGAUAUUUUGGUUUUGUCCCCGUAAAAUCUUUAUGACAUCAAAUUAUAAAAUUUAUGGCAAUUUGUCCCUUGUAAUAUGAUUAAAUUUCGGUUUAACCCUAUGCAAUUUGAACAAAUUUUGGUUUACUUCCAUGCCAUAUCAUGAAGGUUCAAAACCAAAAAUUUUCAAAUUACAAUGACGAAAACCAAAAAAAAUAUUUAUAGAGAAGAAAACCGAAAAUAACCUGAACCCCGAACAUGACAAAAAAAAAACUACUAUUUAACCCUAAAAUAAACUCAGCUUGAUUUUUUUUUUUUUUAAUAUUGAGUUAUAACAUUGAUGAUUUAGUUUGUAUAUAUCUUUUAAUUAAUCAUUCUCUCUUUCUCAAAAAUAAUUUAUUUUAGGGUUAAUUAAGUUUUUAGUUCCUAUAAAUAUUCACAGUUUUGUUUUUAGUCCCUACAAAAUAAAAUCACACUUUUUAGUCCCCGUGACAUUAUCCUUAAGCAUUUUAGGAACCAAAAUUGUUGAUAGAAAUUUUUGACAAGGACUAAAACUGUUGAUGGAAAAAUUUUAUAGGGAUUAAAAAUGCUGAUGGAAAAUUUUACAGGAAUUAAAAAGUGUGAUUUUAUUUUGUAGGGACUAAAUACAAAAUUCUGAAUAUUUAUAGAGACCAUUUACUUAAUUAACCCUUUAUUUAAAUCAUUCAUCAAAAUACACUAAAAUCAUCAGUAUCACAAAAACUCAAUAUCGUCCAAAUAUUUUCCCACAAGUAUAAUUUUUUUAUUUGCUUUUAGACUAAUGGCCAACAUACACGUACAUACUCUCAAUAAAACGUGCUUGAAGAGAAUGAAAUGCAGUGACAUGAAUUCAAACCCAAAAUUCCGCAUAAAAUAUCAUCACAACCAAACCACAAUGCUACAACAAACACAUAUUUUAGAUUUUAAUUAUUCCAGUGGUAUAUCAAAAAAAUGUAUAUCAAUGUCAUCCUAUUUUCUUAUUAUUUUAUGGAACCCUUCUUUUAUUUAUCAAUUUCAACUUUCAAGUUAAUAAUAAACACAUGCAAAUAAUUUUUUUCUAUAAAAUUUAAAAAGCAAUAUUAAUAGUACAUAUUAUCUCCCUCAAAAAAAAUAGUAGAUAUUAUCAAAAUUCAUAUCCCAAUGUGAAUAAAAAAUGGCCCAAGGACCUGGUAUUAGUCAUCAUCUUCCUCUAACGUGCCAUCCAAUAACAUCUUCAGUUCCUCCUAUAAAUACCAUGCUGAACUUCACUUAUAAACCACAGCAAGGCAAGCAACUUCUUCAUUAUUUCUUUCUUACACUAGCAUUAUAAUUCAUCAUGGGUGUCAUCAAUUUUGAGGAAGAAACCACCUCUGUUGUAGCUCCAGCUACACUUCACAAAGCUUUUGUUACAGAUGCUGACAACCUUAUCCCAAAGGUUAUUGAUGUCAUCAAAAGUAUUGACAUUGUUGAAGGAAAUGGUGGCGCCGGAACCAUCAAGAAACUCACUUUCGUUGAAGGUCAGUAUAAAUAUAUUUGUUAUAUCUCUUAUAAGCAAAUCUUACAAUUAUUAAGAUUUAGGGUUUAUUAGGGUUAUUUUAGACGUAAGUUGCACCGACACUUCUGAUUGAAGGUGUGUCUUGACGUCCGACAUCACGACACUUGUGAUUACAUUGAAUUAUGUCAUUUUCUUAAAAUUUUAUCGGCGUCGAUGUGUCCGUGUUGUGUCUGGUGUCUGUGCUUCAUAGUUUUAGACAAAUUCUUGUACCAAUUUUUAAAAACCUAAAUAUAUCAAGUAAUAAUGGUCAUGAUAUUAAUAUGAUUGUGAGAUGAAUCUAUAUAUGACAUGCAGAUGGUGAAACCAAGUAUGAUUUACACAAAGUGGAGUUAGUAGAUGAUGCUAACUGGGCUUACAACUACAGCAUUGUUGGAGGUGAUAGUCUUCCAGACACAGUAGAGAAGAUUUCAUUUGAAGCUAAACUGUCUGCAGGUCCAAAUGGAGGAUCCAUUGCAAAACUUAGUGUGAAAUACUUUACAAAAGGAGAUGUUACUCCAAGUGAAGAGGAACUCAAGAGUGGCAAAGCUAAGGGUGAUGGUCUUUUCAAGGCCCUUGAGGGUUACUGUUUGGCUAAUCCUGAUUACAACUAAAGCAUAUAAUUAAAUGCUUAUUCAUGGUGUGAUGUGACACAGGAUAAGCUAUAUCCAGUUUGCUUAAUUUGGGUACCAAUGUAAUUCUCUAUUUUUCCCCCUUUCCUUUUGGUAAGGAAGUUUGAGUGUGAGAUUGUAAGUCAUGAGUGCCUCCCUUCAAAACAUUGUCAGCUUUUUUUAAUAAAGAGAUUGUUACUAUUUAUAUAUGUGGCUUUAAAAUUAUAAGGUUAUAGUUAUAGUAUUAACUUUUUUUCGUGUCAGAAAAAAGUUAAAAAUAGACUUUUGUUACGGUAAUUUAUAAGGUUAUAAUAAUUUUAUAUUUAUAUUAUUGAAGAGAGUACAUUAAUUAGACUCAAGUGAUUAGUGACCUUUCUCUCAAGAAGAAUUGUUCUAGAGAACCCGAUUUUAUUUUUGGUAAGAAUAAUUUUUGGUCAAACUUUAUUCUUCUUCCUAUCAAACUCUGGAUUACUAAUACCCCUUUCUCGAUGAAUUUGAAAGUUAAGAUAAAAAAAGUGUAAUUAUGUGAGUGAGUCAUUAUUAAAAGGUGAAAGUAUAUUCGGAAUCUGUUUAUUAAUUAAUAAAACUCAUUGUAGAUUUUAACCAAACAAUUGAGUUCAAGAGGUUAAUGAGUAUCCAACUAAUGAAUUGUUUAGUCGAAUCUGAGUUCGACUCUUGGGUAUAACUAUUCUUGGUCAUACUCUAUUUUCUUCCCUGCAGAACUCCAGAUUAUAUCUAGGAAACGAAGGGUUACACAAAAAAUAUAAACUCUUUGUAUGUUUCAACAUAAUAACGUUAAAAAACAAGAAGUAUAUAACAAUGAAGGGAGGAGACUUUUGAAUAAUAAUUGUAGUACUUUUCCUUAUAUCUAAGAUCAAGGUUGUCAAAAUUGAAUUUUGUUUCAAGUGGAAAGGGAAGAGUAAAAUCGAAAAUCGUAAAAUCGUAAUCAAAAUUGAAGGAUAUUAGUCAACUAUUUUUGUAGAAUCUAUAUAAGAAAUCGUAAAAUCGCAAUCAAAAUCGAUGGAUUUUACCAAAACAAAAAUAAUAUUAAAUAUAUGUUAUAAAUGACUCAGUUUAAUCUCCAAGUCUUUCGGAGAGCACUAAGGCAGAGAAAAAGAAGAAGAAGCUCGUGAACAAAGGAAGGUCUGCUAGCUUUAACUCAGCCAGAAUGAGGGUCCGUGCCCAAAAGAGUAACUCCAAAGCUGUCUUAGCUUUUCUGUAUUAUGGUGGAAUUAGCCACCUCCUUCCUUAGGAUCUUUCCAUUAUAAGGGUAGAUCUAGUUUUCCUUUUCGCAGGUUAUACACUUUCUGACUCUGUUGUAUUGAUUCAUGCAUCUCCUGUCUUUUAUAUUUUAGUGCUUUGAUAAAAGAAAAAGACUCAGUUUAAACUCCACAAAAUACUUAUACAUAAAUGACAAAAAAAUGAACUAAAUCCUCCAAAACCUUUUAAAAUCCUGUGAUUUUGCAUGGAUUUCACGAGUUUGUGCGAUUUGGAGGAUUUUGCCUAUUUUAGAAUUUUGUUAUGGAUUUGAGCCGUUGAAAGUGAAUAAGAUCGCAAAAUCCUAGAUUUUUAAGAUUUAAGUCGAGAUUUAAUCAACAAUGUCUAAGAGAUUAAGACCAUGACCAUCAUUAUUUUAUUUGUUGCUUGAUACUUACAUACGAAACUGGAAGGUUUAUACAUUUUGCUAAAAAAUUACCAAAGCAAGCAUAUGAUACAAUAACUAAAUAAUAUAGAAGAACUAUAUGCUCUUAGUUUAUUAUAUAUAGAAGAACUAGAAGACUUAGAAAAAGAUACCUCGGACAAUAAAUGAGGUUAUGUUGUCGUUGAAUUUCAUUACUGGAAUAGGAAUAUAUCAACAAAAGAACUGGAAAUUGUAGUACAAAGUAAUAAAUUGAUGCUCUUGUAAACAAUGAUAAAAUUGAGAAGGAGCCAAUAACUUGCUCAUAUAAAGCAUGCAGUUUUUUCCUUCCCAAGAUUGGUGUUUAUUUCUAUCAAAAUUAUUGUGAAGUGAUCAAAGAAGAUGUCAUCAAUGCUAUCUGCAAUCUUUUGUUUUUGGAUGGAUGAUGCCAAACUUCAAUGCCAACACCUUGAUUCUCAUUAUAAAAAUAUCUAAUGUUGAUACCAUUGAUCAAUGCAUGAUAAUAACAAUGGCUAGUUUCAAAUUCGAAGGUUAUUGCUUAUAGGAACAAAAAGGUUAUAUUCAUGGCAGGAAUGUUAGAGAAAGUGUUUUCCUAGCUUCUGAAGCCAUCAUUAAUCUUUUGCAAACCAAGUAUUUUGGUGGUAAUCUAGCUCUGAAAAUAGAUAUAGCCAAAGCUUUUGACACUUUGGAGUAGUGUUUUACAGAUCAAUAACUUGCUUGACUUCAAAAUUGGCACUUUUCCUUUCAACAACCUGGGUUCCCUAUCUUGAGAGGAAAAGUUAGAGCUAUUCAUCCGCAAGGUGUUGCUGAUAAAGUUAAAAAUAAGCUAGUAGCUUGGAAAGUUUCCCUUCUCUCAAUUGGUUGACAGGGUUCAAUUGAUCAUUUUUUUCAUACAUUGUGUAUUAUACUCAAACUCUGUCAUACAAUUGUUGGCAGGGUAAAAUGUGACAUGUUUGUAACUCACAUUUGAAAUAAAAAUUUAAUUAGUUAAUUUUUAUUUCCGUCAUAUUCCAUUGUGUAUUAUACUCAAACUCUUGCAUUUUUACACGUACUCUCUAACUUUUGUGCUAAUUGCAAUUAUAAUUUUUCAACCCCAUCGAAAUCAUGCUAUGAAAUUAUCAUGCCAUCAACAACAUAUAAAGAGAGUGCAAAGUACAACCAUGUGAAAAAUACUGAAUAAACAAACACUACUGGAAUCUCUCGUUUUUUUUGCGGAAUUUUCAGUGAAAUCCGCAAAAAAUUCCGCAGAAAAAUUAAGAGUUUCAAGUAGUGAAAGUAAUCAUGACAACUAGUAGAGAGGUCAAAAGAUAGUAUCAUAAAUAUGGAAAAUCUUUCAAACAAGGAUGCUGAACUUCUUUCUUUAAAAAAAAAAAAAAGGAUGAUGAACUUUUUUUGGUUAGAUUUUACUUUUACCAAACUUUAGAUUAUUAUUAUGACCUCUUUCUCUAAAAAUUGGAGGAUUAACACCAAUAAAAAAAAAAGAUAAAGGACUUUGUUUAAUCAUAUAUAUCGAGGAGCUUCUUCAACUUACAAACUUUAUAUAAUAAAAUAAUAAUAAAUUUCUUUUUUGAGGUUAAGUUUUGUAAGAAUAUCUUUUUAUCAAAUUGCUAGAGUAAGUUAUAUAUAUAUAUAUAUAUAUAUAUAUAUAUAUAUAUAUAUAUAUAUAUAUAUAGGGAGAUGCUACAACACAUCCACCUAUUUUUGUCAAGGUGUGUUUUUGCAUUGUCCACCUUUUUUGUUUUGACUAAAAACCCAUUUUCUCCUUUUUAAAAACAAGUAAAAGUGAAGGGCAAUUCUGUCAUUCGCAACUUAAGGCUACCAUUCGCAAAAUUAAAAAAGGUGUAACGUCUCUCAUAUAUAUAUAUUUAAAUAAUUAAUAAAAUUUAAUUAAAAAUAAAUCAUUUGAAAGAAUUUAAAUUUGAAUUUCGAGUAGAAUAAUCACCGACCAAUCUUUAUUUAUCCGACCGAACUCCAAAUUACGAGAGUUCAAGGAGAGUCAGGAUGAAAAAAGAAAAACUUUCUAUAUAUUUCUCGAACUACAGGUUCUAGAAUGGCGUCUAGAGGCUGCAAUAUUUAUAUAUUGAUAUAAGAAACAAUUGAGAAGGACUGCAAUAUUUCGUCAAAGCAGAAUACUUUGUAGUACUAUUAUUAUAUAAGCUGAAUAUCCUCUAAUUUGUUUGGGUUUGUUUUGAUAAUGUGUAGCAGAAAGCUACGACUUUCAGAGUGCUAUGAUUUUGAAUAUAUUGCCGUAGAUUAUGGUUUUGUUAUUUAAAUGCUUCAAAACCAAUUUUUGACCUGUUCACAAAAUUCUUCAGAUUCACCCAAAAACAAAUUCAGAUUGAGAGUUUCUGUUUUUUUAAAGAGUAACACGUCACUGAAUUAAAGAUGAUUAGUCAAAGUGAUAUUAUUUAUGAAUCAAAAUACAUACUAUAUCAUAUGAAUAUAUUAUAUAUCAUAUGUGACCUUGUAUACGACAAAUUUUAAAAAUACAUAACUAAGGUGCACGAUAUUCGAUAUUAAAAUUUUGGAACUAAAGUAUGAUUUCAGAAUUAGUUAUCCCAGUGCUAAACAUAAAUGGACGGAUCAACACGGCAACUUAUCCAAAAAAAUAUAUAUGUCAAUGUCAUCCUAUUUUACUAAUAUUUUAUGAAAAAUGUUAGCAAAUGCCCUUAAGAAGUUUGAAUUAUUUUAUUUUAUUUUUAAAUUUGUGUAUUCAAAACAUUCAAAUAUUUAAAAAUAAAUUUUGCUACAUAAAAGUUAUCAAUUGCUUACAUUUUUAAUCCUUAACAAAUGUUCUAUGGACUCCUUCAAAAAAAAAAUGUCUUAAGGAUAUAAUUUUUGAUGAAUCCUUAGCGAUACCUUUUCAACUUUCAAGCUCCGUCGGGUAUAAUCACAUCUAUUGAAUCUUUAUUGAUUAAUUUUUUUUGGAAAGGGAGUGAGGACACUAGGAAAACUUCUUGGAACGGUUGAAAUAAUAUUUGUUUGAGUAAAGAAACCGGUGGUUUAGGGGUUAGACAUAUGAGGAAGUUCAAUAAUACUUUGUUAGGGAAGUGAUGUUGGAGGAUAGAUGAUGAUUAUGGUAUAGGGUGUUGGUGGCUCGUUAUGGGGAGAUGAAUGGGAGGUUGGUGGUCAGAGUAGUUCAUCUUGGUGAAGGGAGGUAGCGAAAAUUUGUGAUGGGGAAGGUGUGGAGGGAGGAGGGUGGUUCGAGGAGAGUAUUGGGAGGAAGGUUGGUAAUGGGAGGGAUACCUUUUUUUUGGACGGAUCCGUGGUUGGAAGGUCAGCCUUUAUGUAGGAAGUUUAGAGUUUAGAUGACUAUUUGAUUUAGCGGAGAAUAAAUCGAUUACGGUGGUUGUGAUGUGUGAUUUGGGUAAUAAUAAUAAUUAUGAAGCAUAAAAAUAAUGUUAUAAAUAUGAUGUGAUAACAUUAUUAUUUGUUUCUAUAGAUCUAUAUCAUAUCUAAACCAGCAAAGGAACCUUAAGAGUACUAAAACACAAAUUUCACUAACGUUACCUAUAGUUAGGUCAAUUAUGAAGCUUGCCCCCAAUAUUCAAUCAUCUUUCUCAUUUUUAAUAGGCAAGUGUUAAUUGGUUUGGUUAGUUUUCCAUACUUGAACCAUGACCUUCUUCAUUAGUAUUCUUUCCGCUUUCGAAACUAUCUUUUAUAAAGGUUAUGUUAACUAAUAUCCUUAAGAUACUGGUUAAGAAAGAUAAAAUUAAAAAAAUUCAUUCAAAACAAUAAAUUCUCAACUUUCAAAAACAUAAUAUACAACUUUUUCAUACCUUUCAAUACAAUAUUUUUAUAUUAAUUUCCUUAACAUUUCCAAUUUCAUAAUGAUUUUUUAUUUAUUAAUUCUUUCUCAUAGUAUUUCAAUAUGAUGUGGUGGGGUUGGCAUUAGAGAGUUGACUUUAGGUAGGUAUAUUUAUAUAAGAACAUCUAUUAAAGGUGGUUAACAACUUAAAAUAAUUCAUCCUAAAACAACUUAAAAUAUUUCAAAACUUUGAUAAAAGACUAUAUGUUAUCUAAGAGGUGGUAAUAAUAAUUAGGGAGUUUCGACGGUACAUCCUUAAAUUAAGGUGUACUGAUACACCUAUUUCAUAAAUCAAUAAGUUAAUGAUCAUUUUUAUGUAAUAAAGAGAUAUUUAUCGACUUUUAUAUUUUAGAAAAUAUGUAGUUCAUAAGAAAAAACAUCAUUUCAUUUUUUGUAAGAAUCAUACUAAUUUUUUAACAUUUUAUCGAAAAAAAUAAUCGAUAUUCAUUAUUAUGAGUAAUAAAAAUUAAAAAAAAUUGAAUUUUGAUUUGCCGACACUUUUGAAAAAUAAAAUAUAAUUUAUAAUUGUAAUUGAUAGAAAAUAUUUUUUUUUUAUAAAAAAUAUCUCAUUAAACUAUUCAUUUAAAUAUAGGUAUACCGGUACACUCAAAUUUUUUGAGUGUGUCGUAGAAAUUGCCAAAUAAUAAUUAUGGUUCAAAUCCUACCCUUGACAUUUGAAUUAUAGUCAUUGGUGUCAUUGUUAUUGAUAAUAUUUUUCUCAUAUAAAUUAAAAUUAUAAUUUUAUGCAAUAAAAAAAUCCCAUUGAAGCAAGUUUGUAAUUAAAAUAAUUUUUUUUUUAAAUUAUCAACAAAACCAAAUAGUGUUCAUAAUCUUUCAAUUUUUUUUGGAUGAACUCUCAUAUCUUUCAUCAGAAGUCUCAAACUAAUACACACAUAAGCAUACACCUAAAAUCAAAUCUCUAACCAAAUUCUUAAUAAAUCUAGUUAUUUUUCAACCCUGCCACACCAUAAUGGUAGCUUUCACAUGUAAACAUUAGAUAUUAUUUUUCUUUUACUCAACAUAUUAGCUAGUUUGGAACUAGAAAUAUAAUAAUUUUGCGCAGUAGAAUUUAUGAGAGGACAAAUAUUAUAUAUUGUGCGACAAUAUGUUUAUUUUAUAGACGUCGUUUGCAUUUGGAAUUUAGACUGCUUUUGGUCCUUGAUGAGAGAAAAAGAAGAGAGAUAAAAAAAAUAAUGAAUAGUAUAUUCAAGAAUUUUGUGAGUCCAAAUAGGUUUUUAACAUAAAAAAUAAUAUUAAAUAAUAUUAUCCAAAUUCACGUCACAAUGUGAAUAAAAAAUGGCCUAACGACCUUGUAUUAAACAUAGGUCUAAACAAUACAUCUUCAGUUACUAUAAAUACUAGACUCAACUCCACAUAAACCACACAACAAAUUAAGCAACUUCUUAAUUAUAUUUACUAACUAAUACUUCUUUCACUAGCAAGUUAGCAUAUUAUAUAAUUCAUAAUGGGUGUUUUCAAUUUUGAGGAUGAAACCACCUCUAUUGUAGCUCCUGCUACACUUUACAAAGCUCUUGUUACGGAUGCUGACACCCUUACCCCAAAGGUUAUUGAUGCCAUCAAGAGUAUUGAUAUCGUUGAAGGAAACGGCGGAGCCGGAACCAUCAAGAAACUCACUUUUGUCGAAGGUCGGUAUAAAUAUAUGUGUAUUUUUUGGAUUAUUUUAAAGAGUCUAAUUGCGAAAUUCACACGGAUUAAGAGAAAAAUUGAUUCACUAUACAAAUAAAAUACAAUUUAUAAAAUAUAUGAGAGUGUUUAGUAGACACUCUUAUGAUUAACAGUUUUGGUUGCUAAUUAAUUGGUUUGAGAAAAUAUUUUCUAUUUAUAUUUCUAAUUAUAGAAUUGCCACUUUACCGUUUAUCAAUAUUUUUUAUCACUUUACCAGUAAUUGUGACACUUUGAUGUUAGAAGAAUAACCACGUUAUACUCGAAAAAAGUUCUUAGCCCAAAAUGGACAAUUUUACCAAGGUUGUAUUAAAGUAAAUUUAUACUUCAAAAUAAAAUAAAAAUGAAGUUUUUAUAAGAAAAGUAAAUUUCCGCUUAGUGAUCUCAUUCUUUAUGGAAUAGGUCAUCCUUUUAACGGUAUAUUUGAAAGAAUGCUAGAAUAUUCUUUUGGUGAUAUUAUUUUGUUCUAAUCGGAGUAUCGGUCGAGAAAUAAGUAUAGUUUGGUCAAAAUUAUCUUAUUGGAGAUUCAAAUUCUCCCGAACAAUUUGUCUUUGUCAAUUAACUAUUUAAACACAAUUGCUUGAUUAACUGGAACUUGAUUAUUUUAACCAAUGAUGUGCAGAUGGUGAAACAAAGUAUGUGUUGCACAAAGUGGACUUAGUAGAUGAUGUUAACUUGGCUUACCACUACAGCAUAGUUGGUGGUUUUGGGCUUCCAGACACAAUAGAGAAGAUUUCAUUUGAGGCUAAAUUAUCUGCAGGACCAAAUGGAGGAACCAUUGCAAAGCUUAGUGUGAAAUACUUCACCAAAGGUGAUGUUGCACCAAGUGAAGAGGAACUCAAGAAUGGCAAAGCUAGGGGUGAUGGUCUUUUCAAAGCUCUUGAAGGUUAUGUUUUGGCAAAUCCUGAUUACUAAAGCAUAUAGCUAAUUGCUUACUUGCUUUAUACAUGGCGUGUUGUAAUGCAUUUUAUUGUAUCAAGUGUGCUUGAUUUGGUUGCCAAUGUAAUUCUCUCAUUUUUUUUCGUUUUAUUUCUCU